UACAGAGGUCCCAAGCGUUACUGAGAAUCACUGGGUUUAAAGGGUGCGUAGGUGGUCCGUUAAGUCAGUUGUGAAAUCCCCGGGCUCAACCCGGGAACUGCUUCUGAUACUGGCGGACUUGAGGCCAGUAGGGGUCACUAGAACUGACGGUGUAGCGGUGAAAUGCGUAGAUAUCGUCAGGAAUGCCGGUGGUGAAGACGGGUGACUGGGCUGGUUCUGACACUGAGGCACGAAAGCGUGGGGAGCGAACGGG
rnacentral:rRNA from 1 species